UUCAUGUUUCCCACCCUGACCCCCAUACUAUUGCUUUACAUGCCAUUUCCUAUACUCUGUACAUCUCUAAACUGGGAUUUAUUUCUUUCAUUUAUUUUUUAGCUUCCGAUCCCUCUACUGACCUCUCUGGCCACUUUUUGUCAUUACAGGUAAAAAUAUAUAUAUAUACAAUCAAUAAACUUUUACGCUGUGACACUUCGGGCCAAAGGUCUUGCUACGCUGUGAUUGAUAUUAGAUGCCAGUCCUCACUCCUCUCCUUACCAUCUGAGGCUUGCCAUGCGUCCCGAUUGCGAUGUCCUUUUAAGGGGUGUGCUGAGCCGUUGAAACUUCUCGGGUGAAAAGUUGUCUGUUACACUUUCUGACUCCACACAUACUUC